UACGUAGGGUGCAAGCGUUGUCCGGAAUUAUUGGGCGUAAAGAGCUCGUAGGCGGUUUGUUGCGUCGGCUGUGAAAUCCCGAGGCUCAACCUCGGGUCUGCAGUCGAUACGAGCAAACUAGAGUGUUGCAGGGGAGACUGGAAUUCCUGGUGUAGCGGUGAAAUGCGCAGAUAUCAGGAGGAACACCGGUGGCGAAGGCGGGUCUCUGGGCAACAACUGACGCUGGAGAGACGAAAGCUAGGGGAGCGAAUGGG
rnacentral:rRNA from 1 species